AAGUCGUAACAAGGUUUCCGUAGGUGAACCUGCGGAAGGAUCAUUAAUAAAGAAUAGCACGCUCGUAAGAGGUGCGACCCUUUAAUUCCACACACUAGUGCACUUGACCCUUUUUAAACACUAUAAAUGUAACAAGUUGAUGAUGUUGAUAAUUGAAAAAGUUAAACAAAACUUUCAGCAAUGGAUCUCUUGGCUCUC
rnacentral:misc_RNA from 1 species